rnacentral:rRNA from 1 species
UACGUAGGGCGCAAGCGUUGUCCGGAAUUAUUGGGCGUAAAGAGCUCGUAGGUGGUUUGUUACGUCUGCUGUGAAAACCUAGGGCUUAACCCUGGGCCUGCAGUGGAUACGGGCAGACUAGAGGUAGGUAGGGGAGAAUGGAAUUCCCGGUGUAGCGGUGAAAAUGCGCAGAUAUCGGGAGGAACACCGGUGGCGAAGGCGGUUCUCUGGGCCUUACCUGACACUGAGGAGCGAAAGCGUGGGGACGAACAGG